rnacentral:rRNA from 1 species
UACGUAGGGGGCUAGCGUUGUCCGGAAUCAUUGGGCGUAAAGAGCGCGUAGGCGGCCAGAUAAGUCCGGUGUGAAAGUCACAGGCUCAACCUGUGAAUGCCGCUGGAAACUGUCUGGCUAGAGUCCGGGAGGGGCGAGUGGAAUUCCUGGUGUAGCGGUGAAAUGCGCAGAUAUCAGGGAGGAACACCAAUUGCGAAGCAGCUCGCUGGGACGGCAGCUGACGCGUGAGACGCGAAAGCGUGGGGAGCGAACACGG